GCUCAGAACGAACGCUUGGCGGCGUGGAUUAGGCAUGCAAGUCGUACGAGAAUCUGUUGAGUCAAUUCUUCGGAAGAAACAUGACAGAGGAAAGUGGCGCAAGGGUGAGUAACACGUGGAUAACGUACCUUUUCGUUGGGGAUAACUCCGCGAAAGCGGUGUUAAUACCGAAUGUGGUCAUACAGCAUCAGGUUGUAUGAUUAAAGGCGGGGACCUUCGGGCCUGCCGCGAAGAGAUCGGUCCGCGCUCUAUUAGCUUGUUGGUGAGGUAACGGCUCACCAAGGCGAUGAUGGGUAGCCGACCUGAGAGGGUGACCGGCCACACUGGGACUGAGACACUGCCCAGACUCCUACGGGAGGCUGCAGUCGAGAAUCAUUCGCAAUGGGCGAAAGCCUGACGAUGCAACGCCGCGUGCGUGAAGAAGGCCUUCGGGUUGUAAAGCGCUUUGAUCAGGGAAGAAGGCAUACAUGCGUUAACAGCGUAGUAUGUUUGACGGUACCUGAAGAACAAGCCCCGGCUAAUUUCGUGCCAGCAGCCGCGGUAAUACGAAAGGGGCAAGCGUUGUUCGGAUUUGCUGGGCGUAAAGGGGGUCUAGGCGGUCUGUUAAGUUUCCUGUGAAAACCCGGGGCUCAACCCCGUGGACUGCAGGGAAAACUGGCAGACUUGAGUAUGUGAGACGCGUGCGGAAUACUGGGUGUAGCGGUGAAAUGCGUAGAUAUCCAGUAGAACACCAGCGGCGAAGGCGGCC
rnacentral:rRNA from 1 species